UAAACCCAACAAUUUGAGUCAAAAAGAAAAACAAAAAACACAUUCACAAGAUGAGAAUGAUACUGAGUGAGAGGGGUUCGCAUAUACAUACAUAUACACAUCAUGUGUUCUUUUCAAGGAGUUUAGUGGGGUGUCACUGUCCAUGCAUUUGUGAAAUCUCAUUAGAGUAGUGCAUUAGUCAAAUAAUUAAUGCAACUAUAAGCUGAUGCUUGAUUGAGGUGACACACUAACUAGAGGUCAAAUAUAUAUAUACUAAGAAAAGAACAAGGAGAAAACCAUUCUUGUGGAUAAACCCUAAUUAAUCUCCCUCCCUGUUUGGUAGGUUUGAGAGUGGUUAAUUAAGUGAUCACUAAACACCCC
rnacentral:lncRNA from 1 species